rnacentral:rRNA from 1 species
AGCCGGCAUGCUAAUACAUGCAAGUCGAGCGAAUGGAUUAAGAGCUUGCUCUUAUGAAGUUAGCGGCGGACGGGUGAGUAACACGUGGGUAACCUGCCCAUAAGACUGGGAUAACUCCGGGAAACCGGGGCUAAUACCGGAUAACAUUUUGAACCGCAUGGUUCGAAAUUGAAAGGCGGCUUCGGCUGUCACUUAUGGAUGGACCCGCGUCGCAUUAGCUAGUUGGUGAGGUAACGGCUCACCAAGGCAACGAUGCGUAGCCGACCUGAGAGGGUGAUCGGCCACACUGGGACUGAGACACGGCCCAGACUCCUACGGGAGGCAGCAGUAGGGAAUCUUCCGCAAUGGACGAAAGUCUGACGGAGCAACGCCGCGUGAGUGAUGAAGGCUUUCGGGUCGUAAAACUCUGUUGUUAGGGAAGAACAAGUGCUAGUUGAAUAAGCUGGCACCUUGACGGUACCUAACCAGAAAGCCACGGCUAACUACGUGCCAGCAGCCGCGGUAAUACGUAGGUGGCAAGCGUUAUCCGGAAUUAUUGGGCGUAAAGCGCGCGCAGGUGGUUUCUUAAGUCUGAUGUGAAAGCCCACGGCUCAACCGUGGAGGGUCAUUGGAAACUGGGAGACUUGAGUGCAGAAGAGGAGAGUGGAAUUCCAUGUGUAGCGGUGUAAAUGCGUAAA